ACUUUUUUUGCCUUAAAAAAGCAAUAAAGUCACAAAAAUCUUCUUGAAGCGUAAUAGCUUUAAUCAAGUGUAGUAUCUGUUCUAGAACGCUUAAAAUCGUUCUGCUAUCUAAGUGAUAGCUUUCGAACUUAAUCUUAUUUUUUAUUCGAGGUUUUUAGAUGUUAUUAUAAUAAUAUCGGCAUGCCUUUAUUCAUUACAUCUAAAGUUGUAUUCGCUCUGUAUCGCACCAUUUCAGAGUCAAUAAAAAAGAGUACUACCUCUC
rnacentral:snRNA from 1 species